GAUGAAAACUAUUUCUGUUGUUACUUAUGAUGCAGAGAAUGUCCAUGGUGUGCUUAUGGUGUGCUUACUGGUCCCAUGGUAUGGUGGCGUUGAGAAAUAUGUAUACUUUCAUUGAGUAUGUCCGCACCAGAGUCCAAAACCACGGGUGAAAGAUCUGACAAAAAGGGAGAAUACCGAGAAGAGUGUGUUGAGGGAUAGAGGACGGCCGAGGAAUCAUCUAGCUUACUGAAGCAAAGGGAUGGUUCCUUGAAAAGUGCAACGACAGUGCCAUGUUCAAGUAUUCCUAGCUACAUCGCUUCAGUUGGUCCACAUGACUGAAUGGGGAUGUCUCUUCAGAUUAAGGUAAUAAGUACCAUGUUCAGCAAUUUCGGUUUGUCGGUUUGUCCCCGGUCAUUUCAUACAAUGUUUCCUAAAUCAAAAUAUAUACUGGCCUUGGAGUGUCCAGUUGCAUGAAACAAGUGUGCCUCAUGUAUUUUGUUCUUCUACAGUUUGGGGAUAUGACUAUUUUCUUUGCAGUCGCUUAGUAGCCUCCAUUAAAUAUCUUUUCAAUCGUGAGCUCCUUGGCAGCAGAGGCAGACGGCGUUGCUUGAUGGCCCCCAUUCUAUCCCCUUUCCGAUGCAUAUGCAAAUUUUAUUGUGCAUCGUUUUUAGUUAAAACCGUGAGCUCCUCUGCUCAGCUUUAUUCUGUUGCCCCAUUUACAUUACUGAUUUCAUUAUGUAAGCAUGCGAGAGGGAGGCUUGAGCAUGUGCAAAGAAGUUAUUACUUGCUAACUUAAAAUAUUCACUGCAAAAAAAUAUUGCACACACGUCUUUUUUAUCCUAUUGGGAAAUGGAUCAGAUAGUUUUCUUUUUAUGAAAGCAAUAUUU